rnacentral:rRNA from 1 species
GUACACGCUGUGACUAGCAUAUCAAUAAGCGGAGGAAAAGAAACUAACAAGGAUUCCCUUAGUAACGGCGAGUGAAGCGGGAAGAGCUCAAAUUUGAAAUCUUAAAGGGUUUCCCUUUACGAAUUGUAGUUUAAAGAAGUGUUUUCUGUUAGAGGUUUCGGUAAAAGUUCUUUGGAAUAGGACAUCAUAGAGGGUGAGAAUCCCGUAUUUGACCUUUACUUUCUAACUUUGUGAUACACUUUCAAAGAGUCGGAUUGUUUGGGAAUGCAGUCCAAAAUGGGUGGUAAAUUUCAUCUAAAGCUAAAUAUUGGCGAGAGACCGAUAGCGAACAAGUACCGUGAGGGAAAGAUGAAAAGAACUUUGAAAAGAGAGUUAAACAGUACGUGAAAUUGUCAAAAGGGAAGCGUUUGACACCAGUGUUGUUUUCUCGAAAAUCAAUUAAAAAUGGCUCGAUUUUGUAUUGCUUGAGACCUUAAAGGCUCACUGUACAUUUUUCGUGUCUUUUUUAAUGCACUUUUCGUUUAACAAGUCAACAUCAGUUUCUUUUGUUGUAAAAGGGUCAUUGGAAGGUGGCUUUCUUUUCGGAGAAAGUGUUUAUAGCCUUUGGCCUCUGCAAUCGGAGAGACUGAGGUCUGCAGCGUAGACUCUUCGGGGUUAGAUACAUUUGUGCUAAGUUAUAGCUUUUUAUAGACAACUUGUUGACUAUAAUUAGUCUUGUAGCUUACUCGCUUAUGCUAUUUUACCUACGCUUAGGAUGUUGAGCGCAUGUCUCUCUCU